CACACGAUCCAACCCAAAGCGACCAUUACAAAGAACUCGCCAGGAUCCUCGAAAGCCUAGUUCACAUUCUCGUCGCCCAGGCACGGCUCAGCAAACGGAGCAACAUCGACCUUGAACAGCAAGCAGCAAUGCUUAAGCUUCAAGCGGAGGAGGCCUGGAAGGACCAGGCCCAAACCAAGAGUCGCCUUGAUCAGCUCCUCCUCAAGACCCAGAACCAGCACGAGAAAGACGACGACACAGAUCCAGAGCUACAGAAAGAAGUAUAAAGACUUCACAAUGCCCUCAGCAAGAUGUGGCAAAACAUGGGCCAGGGCGAGCUAAAC